UACGAGGGGGGCGAGCGUUGUUCGGAAUUAUUGGGCGUAAAGGGUGCGUAGGCGGUUUGGUAAGUCUUGUGUGAAAUCUUCGGGCUCAACUCGAAGUCUGCACGAGAAACUGCCGGGCUUGAGUAUGGGAGAGGUGAGUGGAAUUCCCGGUGUAGUGGUGGAAUGCGUAGAUAUCGGGAGGAACACCAGUGGCGAAGGCGGUUGCCUGGGGCUUUGCUGACGCUGAUGCGCGAAAGCGUGGGGAGCGAUCCGG
rnacentral:rRNA from 1 species